UGUUAAAUGUUAAAUCCAUUUAAACGGAGGCAAAUGUCUUUUGACAGAAAUUUGCCUCCGUUUAAAUGGAUUUAGCAACAAAAUACA
rnacentral:pre_miRNA from 1 species